rnacentral:rRNA from 1 species
CCUACGGGAGGCAGCAGUGAGGAAUAUUGGUCAAUGGGCGCGAGCCUGAACCAGCCAAGUAGCGUGAAGGAUGACUGCCCUACGGGUUGUAAACUUCUUUUAUAAAGGAAUACAGUGAGGCACGUGUGCCUUUUUGUAUGUACUGUACGAAUAAGGAUCGGCUAACUCCGUGCCAGCAGCCGCGGUAAUACAGAGGAUCCGAGGGUUAUCCGGAGUGAUUGGGUUUAAAGGGAGCGUAGGUGGGUUGUUAAGUCAGUUGUGAAAGUGUGCGGCUCAACCGUAAAAUUGCACUUGAUACUAGCAGCCUUGAGUACAGUAGAGGUAGGCGGAAUUCGUGGUGUAGCGGUGAAAUGCUUAGAUAUCACGAAGAACUCCGAUUGCGAAGGCAGCCUACUAAGCUGCCACUGACACUGAGGCUCGAAAGUGUGGGUAUCAAACAGGAUUAGAUACCCUUGUAGUC